GCCAGACUCCUACGGGAGGCAGCAGUGGGGGAUAUUGCACAAUGGGGGGAACCCUGAUGCAGCGACGCCGCGUGGGUGAAGAAGCGCCUCGGCGCGUAAAGCCCUAUCGGCAGGGAAGAAGGAGGACGGUACCUGACUAAGAAGCCCCGGCUAACUACGUGCCAGCAGCCGCGGUAAUACGUAGGGGGCAAGCGUUAUCCGGAUUUACUGGGUGUAAAGGGGGCGCAGACGGCAGCGCAAGCCAGGAGUGAAAGCCCGGGGCCCAACCCCGGGACUGCUCUUGGAACUGCGCGGCUGGAGUGCAGGAGGGGCAGGCGGAAUUCCUGGUGUAGCGGUGAAAUGCGUAGAUAUCAGGAGGAACACCGGUGGCGAAGGCGGCCUGCUGGACUGCGACUGACGUUGAGGCCCGAAAGCGUGGGGAGCAAACAGGAUUAGAUACCCUAGUAC
rnacentral:rRNA from 1 species